AAGGUGUCCCCUCGGUCGAGCGCACUGGCAACAGAAAUGACGUGCUUGCACUGAUUUGACGUUGGAUUCCCAGUGAGCGGCGGACGGGUGAGUAACACGGGCCAACCUGCCCCNAAGCGGGGGAUAACAUUUGGAAACAGGUGCUAAUACCGCAUAACUUGGAAAACCACAUGGUUUAAUCCAAAAAGAUGGUUUCGGCUAUCACUUUGGGAUGGGCCCGCGGUGCAUUAGCUAGUUGGUGAGGUAACGGCUUACCAAGGCGAUGAUGCAUCCGAGUUGAGAGACUGAUCGGCCACAAUGGAACUGAGACACGGUCCAUACUCCUACGGGAGGCAGCAGUAGGGAAUCUUCCACAAUGGGCGCAAGCCUGAUGGAGCAACACCGCGUGAGUGAAGAAGGGUUUCGGCUCGUAAAACUCUGUUGUUGGAGAAGAACGUGCGUAAGUAACUGUUUACGCAGUGACGGUAUCCAACCAGAAAGUCACGGCUAACUACGUGCCAGCAGGCGGUAAUACGUAGGUGGCAAGCGUUAUCCGGAUUUAUUGGGCGUAAAGCGAGCGCAGGCGGUUGCUUAGGUCUGAUGUGAAAGCCUUCGGCUUAACCGAAGAAGUGCAUCGGAAACCGGGCGACUUGAGUGCAGAAGAGGACAGUGGAACUCCAUGUGUAGCGGUAAUGCGUAGAUAUAUGGAAGAACACCAGUGGCGAAGGCGGCUGUCUGGUCUGCAACUGACGCUGAGGCUCGAAAGCAUGGGUAGCGAACAGGAUUAGAUACCCUGGUAGUCCGUAAACGAUGAGUGCUAGGUGUUGGAGGGUUUCCGCCCUUCAGUGCCGAAGCUAACGCAUUUUAAAAGUGUCGU
rnacentral:rRNA from 2 species